ACAAGGCUUUAACAUCAAAAUGCUCCUCCUACAGUACAGCAGCAAACCCUGUGAAAAUUAUUAAAUGCAUCUACAGAACACGAGGGCAUCAUGAGCAUGCAAAUCUCCACUGGAUCAGAAACUAUCCACACUCUUCCCUCACUCUUCACCUGAUCCUCAUAUUAAAAACCUCUGGGACACCAUCUAUGCUGCAGGCACACAAAUCCUGACAAGAUGGUAUCUCCACAGUAUGGCCUUUGCUGGAAUCCCAAGGCUUAGCAGACCAACCAUCAACAGAAAGGAAAGACCUCUGGCUGAGGGAUCUUGGAUCUGUCACGUCCUUUGCUUCAGGGAAAUGUCCCAUCCCAACCAGAAGAGGACAGAAGCACCAUCAGACUACACACAAUACAUCUCAGCUCAGGUCAGGAAAUAUAACUGGUGACUCAACAUAUUAUAUCACUACAGUUACAGAAUACCCUGAACAGGACUGGAAAAACAAUUUGCUGUGCCUUGUGCCCAUAACUGAAGACGAGACUACCAAACCGGCGCAGCUAAGCCACCUGAAUUGUUGGAACGAAGGGAGAAGUUCUCUGCUUGUGUCACACCAGUCUAGACCUGCAGACUGACUAAUUUGGGAAGGUCUGCAGCAAGCCUAGCUUCCCACCAGCCAGCCAGAAGUCUGCAGCAUUCCACUUCACGAAGCUGGUAUUUAUCUUGGGAUGCCUCAAGGAGUUCAGUCACAGCAUUUCCAGCGCCGGGAAUGCUCUCGGUAAGUGCGAACAGGUUGCACAAGGUAUAAAAACACGAGCCAUUUAGGCCCUUCCCAACUCUUGGAAUAUAAGGGCCCUACUUAUAAGAGCCACCCUCCAGCACCA
rnacentral:lncRNA from 1 species